CCCUAACGCCGUAAUCCGCCUGAAAUUCACUCUUCCUCCUAGGUCCGAGACACCACGUACCUUCUCAGACUCACGGAAGCGAAACCGAAGGCCGAGCCAGAGAGAAACCGUCAAGAGAACCGCCAUCCCGUAUAACAGAACCUCAGACAUCGAACUUCGCUAGCUCCACCCAUCGAUACGAACACCAAACCCCGAUAGCUGACUGGAAGCUGACAACUUCACUGACGAACCACCAGAGCGAUGGCGCUCACCUGGGAAUCUACCGAACCGCAACGAGAGAGAAAGGUACCACCUUGACGACGACGGACGCUUCCUCCUCCGUCUUGAUGAUCAGGUACCGGGUGGGGAGAUGAGACGAGCUCCGACGAGGCUGCCGGAAGACGCAGCGCCUCCACACACGGAGAACACGAAGCUUGAAAGUUAGAGAAAAAAUUUCGUCGCGCGUUAGAUCCACUUGCGCCGCUCAAAGGCCUUCGCUUUUUCUUUCGAUUCAUUAGUUCUUGAUUUACAUAUAAAUAAAUAGAGUGAUGGAUGAAUCUCAUUCUAAGUUUUUCUCACCCUUAGGUUAUAGAAUAACUACAGGAAAAUCUGAUCUGAUGUGACACUACAUUUCAUUCAUUUAGGUUAUAAGGAGGACUUGCAUGGAUCAAGAUGGAGGUCGCUUCAGAUGGUAGCAAUCUCAUGGAGAAGGUCAUGCAUCCUUAUGUGCAGGUACCCACCUUUGUUAGUUAGAAUCUAAAAAAACACUAUAUUGGUUUGUGGGUUUCAGUACAGUUGAGUACUUUGCUUUAAGAAAAUUUUUUUUUCAGGAGAAGAAAAUACUUAUACGAUUUCAGGAUGCGGAGAAGUGCAUCAAGAUCGAUCCAACAUUCUCAAAGGAGUACAGCAGAAAAAUUGCUGUCCAAUUCUUCAUCAAGGAGUAUGAAAAUUCGAUGGACACAUACCAAUAGGGUCGCAAACAUGAUCCUAAUAUUGAGCUUCUCUCGAUGGUGUUAGAAGGUAUGUUAUAUGUGUAAAGGCAUGUAGAAAUUAUUCACUCUGUUAUCUUAGUAGCCUGUGUUACGUUCUGUAAAAUAAUUAUGCAGAUGUGUACAAUAGAUCAACAAGCACACUGUGGUGACCUUACUCCCAAGGAGUUUAAAUAACUACUGGUUAUAUUCUAACUUAUUGUUAUGUAUUCCUUUUUAGGUUUAGAGUCAAUCAGUGAAUUUGUCUUAUUUAUUUUUCUUCUUGCAGACAAGCAGAAUGCGAGACCCGGCAAUCCAAAACAUUCUCACAGAUCCUGUGUUGAGAAGGUAAAGAAACGAAUUUGACUUCUCUAUAUUUUUUUUCUCAGUUCAGAAAUCAAUGUUUGGUUCAGAUGGACUAGAGCAAUCCAUAUUGCUGUUAAUGAUUUUUUUUCAAAAUCUAACACUUCUCUUGGAACAGGUACUGUCUGAUCUGUGAUUGUGACUUACCAGAAGUCUCUUACGUUGAAGAGGCUGAAUGAGACUGUGAGAUUUAAGAAAGAGUUAGAGCAGAAAGAGUAUUCUGAUCUCAGUAUUAGCGAUGCGGAACGUUAAAAUUGGUAAUUUCUUUUUGCAAUUAUAUAUUGGUAAAGAGAAUUGAACUAACAUCCUGUUGUGUUUCUAAUACAUGUAUUGAGCUCUUCAAGGAGAAGAAGUAUCAUGAUGCUGUGAGACAUUACCAUGAAGCGAUCAAAAUGAACCCAAAAGACUUGAGAAGGCAUACGACAAUCGAGCUGCGUGUUACACAAAACUAACAAGUUCUUCCAAGGGAGGCAUAUCGGGAACAAAAGAGAUGUGAAGGUAGCAAUCAAGACAAUACUCGAGGUUGAUCUGAUAGAAGUCAAGGGAGAUAGAAGAAAAUCUGUGUUAUUUAAUGCGGGAAGGGUAGCUAAAGGCCUUAGGCAUCUUGAUGAAAAGUAUUGCAAAGAAACAUGGGAGAUAUUGAGCAGUGUGGUUGUUAUGUAAUACUCGAACGUGAGCAACUCAUAGAGGAGGUGAGCCAUUAACUUCGUUUAGUUUUAAAUUAGUUACGUGACGCAACUCACUUUGGAUUAACAAAUCAGUUCCAGAACAUCAAAGGAGAUGAUAGAGUUUGACUCAUAAUAUGCAAGUGAAAAUAAAACACAAUUCCUGAUUCAUUCCACAUUGUAGUUAGAGUGUUAGGUCUAAGUUUUGAAAACACUAUUUGAACUAUGAAUUUCGACAAAAUUAUAACAUUAUGCAAUAUAAAAUAAGUGAAACAUUCAGGUUCAUGAUGUAAACCACCGAAACAAAUGAUCCAAUGAAAUCAAACCAAAACAAGGUUUAAUAUAUAAUUAUAUAUUUAUGUGGAAUCAAUAGAAACUGCAGCAACUUGAGGAUACAACAUAUCCACAUCUUUGUCUCGAAUUAUUUAGAUAAUUUCUGAGAACUUUUUAAAAACAAUUAGAGGAUUCUAAAUUAUUCGGCAGUUACAGCAUAAAAAUGUUGAAUAAUUAUGGAUAUACACAAGGAUGAUGUAAUAUAAUGCUCCUUUACCAGAAAAAAAAUGUAACGUUUGAAAAGGUCCACAAAAGGUUUGAAGAGGUCAUGGCAUACAAUUUUUUUACUGAAAUUCUAAUUAGAGCAAUGCACUCUUCAGAUGCUAGAGUCUUUAGUGAAAUUAAAACUUUGAAUUUUUUUUCUGAAGGCAAUUUGAAAAAAAAUAUUUGAAAAUUUAGCGUUGUUGAAGUUGAAAAAGUAUUCGAAGUGUAAUAUUUUUUACGAAUUAGAAUGAAUGGUUCCAUUGACAAAAAAAAAUGGUAGUCAUAAAUCAUAUAGCAGCAAACAGAUAUAUAGAAGAAAAAAUAUAUGAAAUUUAAACUAUCAAUUGAUUCAAGUUUAA